CCAGCUGGAUCGCAAGGUCUUCCUGGUACUGAAGGGACAGAUGGUUCCCCAGGUGCUAAGGGCCCUACUGGAUCUCCAGGGACUGGAGGCCCCCUUGGUUUAUCAGGUCCACCUGGUUCCC